GAUGAACGCUGGCGGCGUGCCUAAUGCAUGCAAGUCGAGCGAACGGACGAGAAGCUUGCUUCUCUGAUGUUAGCGGCGGACGGGUGAGUAACACGUGGAUAACCUACCUAUAAGACUGGGAUAACUUCGGGAAACCGGAGCUAAUACCGGAUAAUAUUUUGAACCGCAUGGUUCAAAAGUGAAAGACGGUCUUGCUGUCACUUAUAGAUGGAUCCGCGCUUCAUUAGCUAGUUGGUAAGGUAACGGCUUACCAAGGCAACGAUGCAUAGCCGACCUGAGAGGGUGAUCGGCCACACUGGAACUGAGACACGGUCCAGACUCCUACGGGAGGCAGCAGUAGGGAAUCUUCCGCAAUGGGCGAAAGCCUGACGGAGCAACGCCGCGUGAGUGAUGAAGGUCUUCGGAUCGUAAAACUCUGUUAUUGGGGAAGAACAUAUGUGUAAGUAACUGUGCACAUCUUGACGGUACCUAAUCAGAAAGCCACGGCUAACUACGUG
rnacentral:rRNA from 1 species